AAGUAACGCGUGAGGAACCUGCCUCAAAGGAGGGGACAACAGUUAGGAAACGACUGCUAAUACCGCAUAAGCCCACGGCUCGGCAUCGAGCAGAGGGAAAAGGAGUGAUCCGCUUUGAGAUGGCCUCGCGUCCGAUUAGCUAGUUGGUGAGGUAAUGGCCCACCAAGGCGACGAUCGGUAGCCGGACUGAGAGGUUGAACGGCCACAUUGGGACUGAGACACGGCCCAG
rnacentral:rRNA from 1 species